GCUCAGGAUGAACGCUAGCUACAGGCUUAACACCUGCAAGUCGAGGGGCAGCAUGGUCUUAGCUUGCUAAGGCCGAUGGCGACCGGCGCACGGGUGAGUAACACGUAUCCAACCUGCCGUCUACUCUUGGACAGCCUUCUGAAAGGAAGAUAAUACAAGAUGGCAUCAUGAGUCCACAUGUUCACAUGAUUAAAGGUAUUCCGGUAGACGAUGGGGAUGCGUUCCAUUAGAUAGUAGGCGGGGUAACGGCCCACCUAGUCUUCGAUGGAUAGGGGUUCUGAGAGGAAGGUCCCCCACAUUGGAACUGAGACACGGUCCAAACUCCUACGGGAGGCAGCAGUGAGGAAUAUUGGUCAAUGGGCGAGAGCCUGAACCAGCCAAGUAGCGUGAAGGAUGACUGCCCUAUGGGUUGUAAACUUCUUUUAUAAAGGAAUAAAGUCGGGUAUGCAUACCCGUUUGCAUGUACUUUAUGAAUAAGGAUCGGCUAACUCCGUGCCAGCAGCCGCGGUAAUACGGAGGAUCCGAGCGUUAUCCGGAUUUAUUGGGUUUAAAGGGAGCGUAGAUGGAUGUUUAAGUCAGUUGUGAAAGUUUGCGGCUCAACCGUAAAAUUGCAGUUGAUACUGGAUAUCUUGAGUGCAGUUGAGGCAGGCGGAAUUCGUGGUGUAGCGGUGAAAUGCUUAGAUAUCACGAGGAACUCCGAUUGCGAAGGCAGCCUGCUAAGCUGCAACUGACAUUGAGGCUCGAAAGUGUGGGUAUCAAACAGGAUUAGAUACCCUGGUAGUCCACACGGUAAACGAUGAAUACUCGCUGUUUGAGAUAUACUGCAAGCGGCCAAGCGAAAGCGUUAAGUAUUCCACCUGGGGAGUACGCCGGAAAGGGUGCAACUCAAAGGAAUUGACGG
rnacentral:rRNA from 2 species